AUUGAACGCUGGCGGCAGGCCUAACACAUGCAAGUCGAGCGGAUGAAGGGAGCUUGCUCCUGGAUUCAGCGGCGGACGGGUGAGUAAUGCCUAGGAAUCUGCCUGGUAGUGGGGGAUAACGUCCGGAAACGGGCGCUAAUACCGCAUACGUCCUGAGGGAGAAAGUGGGGGAUCUUCGGACCUCGCGCUAUCAGAUGAGCCUAGGUCGGAUUAGCUAGUUGGUGGGGUAAAGGCCUACCAAGGCGACGAUCCGUAACUGGUCUGAGAGGAUGAUCAGUCACACUGGAACUGAGACACGGUCCAGACUCCUACGGGAGGCAGCAGUGGGGAAUAUUGGACAAUGGGCGAAAGCCUGAUCCAGCCAUGCCGCGUGUGUGAAGAAGGUCUUCGGAUUGUAAAGCACCUUAAGUUGGGAGGAAGGGCAGUAAGUUAAUACCUUGCUGUUUUGACGUUACCAACAGAAUAAGCACCGGCUAACUUCGUG
rnacentral:rRNA from 1 species